AGGACGAACGCUGGCGGCGUGCUUAACACAUGCAAGUCGAACGGAAAGGCCCUUCGGGGUACUCGAGUGGCGAACGGGUGAGUAACACGUGGGUGAUCUGCCCCGCACUUUGGGAUAAGCCUGGGAAACUGGGUCUAAUACCGAAUAGGACCAUGGCAUGCAUGUGCUGUGGUGGAAAGCUUUUGCGGUGUGGGAUGGGCCCGCGGCCUAUCAGCUUGUUGGUGGGGUUAAGGCCUACCAAGGCGACGACGGGUAGCCGGCCUGAGAGGGUGUCCGGCCACACUGGGACUGAGAUACGGCCCAGACUCCUACGGGAGGCAGCAGUGGGGAAUAUUGCACAAUGGGCGCAAGCCUGAUGCAGCGACGCCGCGUGGGGAUGACGGCCUUCGGGUUGUAACCCUUUCAGUAGGACGAAGCGCAAGUGACGGUACCUACAGAAGAAGCACCGGCCAACUACGUGCCAGCAGCCGC
rnacentral:rRNA from 1 species